rnacentral:tRNA from 1 species
GCAGGGGUCGCCCAGCUUGGUCAACGGCGCUGGGAUGAGGUCCCAGUCUCUAUGAGUUCGCAGGUUCGAAUCCUGCCCUCUGCA